rnacentral:rRNA from 1 species
CCUACGGGGGGCAGCAGUGGGGGAUAUUGCACAAUGGGGGAAACCCUGAUGCAGCGACGCCGCGUGAGUGAAGAAGUAUUUCGGUAUGUAAAGCACUAUCAGCAGGGAAGAAAAUGACAGUACCUGACCAGGAAGCCCCGGCUAACUACGUGCCAGCAGCCGCGGUAAUACGUAGGGGGCAAGCGUUAUCCGGAUUUACUGGGUGUAAAGGGAGCGGAGACGGCUAUGUAAGUCAGGAGUGAAAGCCCGGGGCCCAACCCCGGGACUGCUUUUGGAACUGUGUGGCUGGAGUACAGGAGGGGCAGGCGGAAUUCCUAGUGUAGCGGUGAAAUGCGUAGAUAUCAGGAGGAACACCGGCGGCGAAGGCGGCCUACUGGACUGAAACUGACGUUGAGGCUCGAAAGCGUGGGGAGCAAACAGGAUUAGAUACCCUUGUAGUC